CCUACGGGAGGCAGCAGUGAGGAAUAUUGGGCAAUGGGCGCAAGCCUGACCCAGCAACGCCGCGUGGAGGAAUGAAGGCCUUCGGGUUGUAAACUCCUUUUGCAGGGGAAGAGGAAGGACGGUACCCUGCGAAUAAGUCACGGCUAACUACGUGCCAGCAGCCGCGGUAAUACGUAGGUGACGAGCGUUAUCCGGAAUUACUGGGCGUAAAGCGCACGCAGGCGGCUGAAUAAGUCUGACGUGAAAUCUCUCGGCUUAACCGGGAGGGGUCGUUGGAGACUGUUCGGCUUGAGGCGAUGAGAGGGGUGUAGAAUUCCCGGUGUAGUGGUGGAAUGCGUAGAUAUCGGGAGGAAUACCAGUGGCGAAAGCGGCACCCUGGCAUUAGCCUGACGCUCAUGUGCGAAAGCGUGGGUAGCAAACGGGAUUAGAUACCCCGGUAGUCCACGCUGUAAACGAUGAAUACUAGGUGUGGGUGGUAGUAGAAUACUAUCGUGCGACGACAACGACGCUAGUAUUCCGUCCGUGGGAGGUACGGCCGCGAGGACGUAAACGUACGAAAGAAAGUUAGACGGUCGUGAGACGUUGCCGAACGGACGACGACGAGGGAGGAGG
rnacentral:rRNA from 1 species